rnacentral:tRNA from 1 species
AAGACACUAGUUAAGUCGUCCAUAACACUGCCUUGUCAAGGCGUAAUCGUGGGUUAAACUCCCGCGUGUCUUA